ensembl:ncRNA K02A4.5 ncRNA
UUUUAGUACCCGCAGGAAAUGACGAGUUUGAAGACAAUAUCACCACGAGGAUGACUGCACAAUUCGACCGCAACCACGAGCUCCGCGUGGUUGCUAGUCAAUGGUUGAUGAUCACACGAGAUGGCUAGACGAAUAACAAAACGAAACAGAGACCGUGAGAAUGUUGUCCUUUCAAUGCUGGGUGGCAGUGUGAUGUGAUAGCA